AAAAUCGUCUUUCUUUUUAGUGAGUAUAUGUGUAUAGAAAUAGUAGUAAGCUUUAUACUUUGGGGGUCUUACCUUUUGCAUAAUGGUUGUACUAGAAUAUGCGUAAAUGGGCUAUCCCGAAACAAGAAGAUCUAGGUAGAGCUUGGUCUUGGCCAUAAUAACUCGUGUUGCAAUACGGGAAUUAAAAGCUGUACUUAGGGGCGAAAAACCUGCAAUUCUUGAGAUAGCUGGAUUUUAGGUAAAGGUAUUUAGUACCAAGGACAAUCAAGAAGUGCCGAGAUUUCUUGAGCGUAGAAUUUUUAUUUUAUUUUACAUCUGGAGGGGUAAUACCUCGCCAUGCCGCAAAGUGAAUACAUAAAUGAUAAGAAAAUCUAAGUGUAACCUAAACAUGUGGUCUGACUUUAGGCUACAAAGAUAAUGUGCAAAUUAGUAAUAAUAGUUAUCGGAGGUAAGGAAUUCGGCAAACAAACUCCUCAUCUGUUUAUCAAAAACAUAGCCUUGCGCUUCUAUGCAAGGUAAGCCCUGCCCAGUGAGAAAUUAAACGGCCGCAGUACCCUGACUGUGCUAAGGUAGCGUAAUCAGUUGGCUUUUAAAUGGAGUCGAGAAUGAAUGGGUUCAUGGGGAGUGACUGUCUCACCUUUGUUAAGUCGAACUUAUUUAGUAGGUGAAAAUACCUAUAAAUAGAAAAAAGACGAGAAGACCCUUAGAGUCUUAAUAAAGUGUCUUAGUCAGGCUAGUAUUUUUGUUGGGGCGACAUCGAGGCAUUAUUUAACCCUCGAUAAUAGAGAUUACUAGACGAAAGUAAUAGGAAAGACAAGACUACCUUAGGGAUAACAGCAUAAUCUUAAAAUUAGCUUUGUGACCUCGAUGUUGGACUAGGAACUUUAUGACUAGCCGUCAUAAGAGUAGGUUCUGUUCGAACCCUUGCUCCUACAUGAUCUGAGUUCAGACCGGCGUAAGCCAGGUCAGAUUCUAUCUUUUUUGGCGACCUUUUAGUACGAAAGGACCGAAGGGCGGUAAUUUGUUGUUAUU
rnacentral:rRNA from 1 species